rnacentral:rRNA from 1 species
AAAGGCCCUGCUUGCAGGGUACUCGAGUGNUUNAACGGGUUNNUAACACGUGGGUGAUCUGCCCUGCUCUUCGGNAUAAGCCUGGGAAACUGGGUCUAAUACCGGAUAGGACCAUCGUUUAGUGUCNGUGGUGGAAAGUUUUUUCGGUGCAGGAUGAGCUCGCGGCCUAUCAGCUUGUUGGUGGGGUAAUGGCCUACCAAGGCGUCNACGGGUAGCCGGCCUGANAGGGUGGACGGCCACAUUGGGACUGAGACACGGCCCAGACUCCUACGGGAGGCAGCAGUGGGGAAUAUUGCACAAUGGGCGCAAGCCUGAUGCAGCGACGCCGCGUGGGGGAUGAAGGCCUUCUGGUUGUAAACUCCUUUCAUUCAUGACGUUUCAUUAUGUGACGGUAGUGGUAGAUGAAGCACCNGCUAACUACGUGCCAGCAGCCGCGGUAAUACGUAGGGUGCGAGCGUUGUCCGGAAUUACUGGGCGUAAAGAGCUCGUAGGUGGUUUGUCGCGUCGUCUGUGAAAUUCCGGGGCUUAACUCCGGGCGUGCAGGCGAUACGGGCAUAACUUGAGUGCUGUAGGGGAGACUGGAAUUCCUGGUGUAGCGGUGAAAUGCGCAGAUAUCAGGAGGAACACCGAUGGCCAAGGCAGGUCUCUGGGCAGUAACUGACGCUGAGGAGCGAAAGCAUGGGUAGCGAACAGGAUUAGAUACCCUGGUAGUCCAUGCCGUAAACGGUGGGCGCUAGGUGUGGGGGUCUUCCACGACUUCUGUGCCGUAACUAACGCAUUAUGCGCCCCCGCCUGGGGGAGUACGGCCCGCAAGGCUUAAACUCAAAGGAAUUGACGGGGGCCCGCACAAAGCKGYGGAGCAUUGUGGAUUAAAUUCGAUGCAACCNSCRAARAACCUUACCUGGGGCUUUGACAUAUGCCGGAUCGGCGCANAGAUGCGUUUUCCCUUGUGGNCGGUAUACAGGNGGUGCAUGGUUGUCGUCAGCUCGUGUACUGAGAUGUUGGGUUAAGUCCCGCAACGAGCGCAACCCUUGUCUUGUGUUGCCA